rnacentral:rRNA from 1 species
AGUCGAGGGGUAAAGGGAUUAGCUUGCUAAUUUGCUGACGACCGGCGCACGGGUGCGUAACGCGUAUACAAUCUGCCUUAUACUGGGGUAUAGCCUUUAGAAAUGAAGAUUAACCCCCCAUAGUCUCUACUUGUGGCAUCACAUAUAGAGUAAAGGUUACGGUAUAAGAUGAGUAUGCGUUCUAUUAGUUUGUUGGUGAGGUAACGGCUCACCAAGACUACGAUAGAUAGGGGCCCUGAGAGGGGGAUCCCCCACACUGGUACUGAGACACGGACCAGACUCCUACGGGAGGCAGCAGUGAGGAAUAUUGGACAAUGGAGGCAACUCUGAUCCAGCCAUGCCGCGUGCAGGAAGACUGCCCUAUGGGUUGUAAACUGCUUUUAUAUAGGAAGAAACCUACUUACGUGUAAGUAGCUGACGGUACUAUAAGAAUAAGGAUCGGCUAACUCCGUGCCAGCAGCCGCGGUAAUACGGAGGAUCCAAGCGUUAUCCGGAAUCAUUGGGUUUAAAGGGUCCGUAGGUGGAUAAUUAAGUCAGAGGUGAAAUCUUGCAGCUCAACUGUAAAAUUGCCUUUGAUACUGGUUAUCUUGAGUUAUUAUGAAGUAGUUAGAAUAUGUAGUGUAGCGGUGAAAUGCCUAAAUAUUACAUAAAAUACCAAUUGCGAAGGGGGAUUACUAAUAAUUCACUGACACUGAUGGAACAAACCGUGGGUAGCGAACAGGAUUAAAUAACCUGGUAGUCCCCCCCCGUAAAACAGGGGUACUACCUGUUUGGACCCUUGAGUCUGAAUGGGUAA